AUACGUAGGGAGCGAGCGUUGUCCGGAAUUACUGGGUGUAAAGGGUGCGUAGGCGGGACUGCAAGUCAGAUGUGAAAUGCCGGGGCUCAACCCCGGAGCUGCAUUUGAAACUGUGGUUCUUGAGUGAGGUAGAGGUAAGCGGAAUUCCUAGUGUAGCGGUGAAAUGCGUAGAUAUUAGGAGGAACAUCGGUGGCGAAGGCGGCUUACUGGGCCUUUACUGACGCUGAGGCACGAAAGCGUGGGGAGCAAACAGGAUUAGAUACCCUGGUAGUCCACGUUGUAAACGAUGAUGACUAGGUGUGGGGGGACUGAACCCUUCCGUGCCGCAGUUAACACAAUAAGUCAUCCACCUGGGGAGUACGGCCGCAAGGUUGAAACUCAAAUGAAUUGACGGGG
rnacentral:rRNA from 1 species